GGAGGUGUUUCUGCUUUUGAAGAGACACAUGGGUUUUAGGCAUGUAGCCACUGCUUGAACGUCACUCCAACAACAGCAAAGUGAAAUGAUGAUGAAAACACUGUAUGAUCUGCUGGAAGAUCUCAUGAGGAAUUCCGGUCGUUAAAGGGUGCCUCCCCAACUCUGGACCAGAAAAGGCAAUUUGAUAAAUGGAGCACUGGAAGAAAUAUCUGUGAACCAGAAUGGCAACUUCCAGGUACCCCAGGCUCUGCUAGCUAAUACCACUGUAGUCCUCAGACUCAGAUAAGGUCAAUACAGGUGAGGACAUAAACAACCAUUAUGUCUAUUGGUUGAGAAAAUAUGGUUUCAUAGACUGGAAAAAAUUUUUCGGGGAUGUAGAAUAAUAUAAAAUAGAAGCAAAGUUAAAAAAUAAAUCAGUGCCCUUCUUGAUUUUGUUUGGAGAGGAUUAAAACAAACAACAAACAAGCAACCCACCAAAAUAAACAAGUAAGCAAGCAAACAAAAGACAAAAUAAAAGAUACUCACUGUGUAUUGGGUUUCAUUUCCCAAAGCCUGUAAGGAAAAAGAAUCUUUUAUUGUUUGGGGAAGGAGACUUUCUUGAAGCAGUUGGAAACUUUCUCUUACAGGUGAAAUGCAAGCUGUAUUUGCAAAUGAGGUGUGGAUGUUUAUUACACCCUCUCUGCUCCACCAGUGCUCAGUCUUAUGCAAUCUAAAGGCCCUCAGGAGGGAGCAUCUGUUUUUCACUUCAGUGCAAGGCAAGCUGGGAAGCCUGUGUGCAGAAUUUUCAAGUGGAGGAAGUCAGAAUGGGAGAAAACAACUCCAGAUUCUCUUCACACUUUGGUGUGACUGUUUUGAAACAUUCUCUCAACAAGGGGCAAGUCCUCACCUCUCUACAGAUGUGCAGAGGCAUCCAUCGUCACACCCCACCCACAGCUACCUUUGUCAAUGAAAAAUAUGUGAGAAAAUCCAAGGAAGAAACAAAGACUCAGAAAACAAAUGUGACUGUUGGGUCAUGGUCCAAGAAAGGAGUACCCCGCAGAGACUUCUGAGUUCCUGUGAGAAAACUCCAAGAAAGCAAGGUGAGAGUCUUCUGAUCUCAGUUUUUUUUUCACAAUAUAUGGAAUGAUCUUGCAUUAUGCUCCCAGGUGUACUGGAGACGAAUGUGUUUACUUCAGAUUGUCCAUUAUAACUGGGUACUGUUCAUUGUUUAGUAUCCCUCCAUAGAAAAUCAUGUUAUUGCCACAUGUGCCUUCCCUGCUAUGUGUAGCU
rnacentral:lncRNA from 1 species